AUGAGGCCGCCGCCGCGCCAUCUUGCCUCCUCCCCGUCUCCAGCAAGGCCCUGCCCGACCCCCUCCUACGCCGUCGCCUCGCAAUGGAGCAGCUUCGCUCGGACCACUUCUGUGCCUCCACGCCGUCUUCCGCACCCCGACCUCCUCGUCACUGCUGCGCCCGUCCCCGGAAACCGGUGCCCUUGCCGGAGCCACCUUGCCUCGCCUCCUUCUGCAGGUCCCGAUGACACAAGCCCCAACGCGACCGCCCUUGGCUUGCCUGCCUUGCCUCGCGCGACCCGCAUGGCCGCCGGCCUUGGAGACCACCAUGCUGGCCUACAGCUUCGCGCACACCGCCGCUGCCCUCCUCUGCUCCGCCUCCGUUGCAUCAAGGAACCCCGGCCAUCUCCUGCUCCUCGCCGACCUUCGUUGGGUGCGCCGCCGCUUCCCUGCUUCAGGCCAAGAUCGACGCCGACCACUGCUUGUAGCCGCGGCUCGGCCACGCACCAACAACCAGCAGCUCAAGUUGCCUCCAUUCAUCUUCGUUAA
rnacentral:rRNA from 1 species